rnacentral:misc_RNA from 1 species
UACUCUUAUUUACAUGUAAUUUAGGAGACAGAUUGUGAUUAAUAAAAAUUCAGUAUAGAAUUUUUUCUAUUUUUUUUGCUCUUGUGUAUAGAGUGUUUUUCUAUUUAUCGAGGUGGCGAUUAUAGUGAUUCUUACGACGGUGAUCGGGGAACUAGAGCCCUUGAUUAGGAUCAAAAUGUUGUGGUGAUGGGAGUAACGUCUAAAGCAACAUGUGGAUAUCAUAUUUGGGCAUGUAGAGAGACGCUUUGAAGAAAUUGUAGAUCGUCUUAAUGCAUUGAGAAUUAAUACAAAUAGGAAUUGGGUUGACAAUUGAAGGCUAAGAGGUGGUAUAGUUCGUGAUGACCCUAUUUAUCAAUCAAUUCUUACUUGUAGACAAUAUGACUAUGAUGAAAAUUUGUAGGAGGAAGAUGACCAUGAGCCAUAUAGGUUUUGUAGACAUCUAUGUAAUGGAAGAUAUAGAAGAAGAGGUGUGUAUUGACCAAUUCUUGGGCGGCAAUAGUAUGUCUACAAAGAUUCAGAGGAGGAUGAGGACUUUGAGCCAAUCAUGUUCAAUAGGCAUCAAUGGAAUGGUGGCUAUAGGCAAAGUGGCGUACAUGAAAAUAAUGAGAAGGGUUUUCAACCAAAACUAAAAUUCUCUCUUAAAUUGUAGCUGAAUGCGAGGACGCCUAACCCAAGCAUCUAUUAAGGGAAAGGGACGAAGGAGAAGAGCAACUUGAAUCUGAAACUCAACUUGAAGUUGAGGACACCAAUGCCAAAGACUCGGAACUAGAAGCUUUGAGCGUAUUUGCCUUGGCCAUGAUUG